UCCAGACUCCUACGGGAGGCAGCAGUGAGGAAUAUUGGUCAAUGGGCGCGAGCCUGAACCAGCCAAGUCGCGUGAGGGAAGACGGUCCUAUGGAUUGUAAACCUCUUUUGUCGGGGAGCAAAAGACGCCACGUGUGGCGUUCCGAGAGUACCCGAAGAAAAAGCAUCGGCUAACUCCGUGCCAGCAGCCGCGGUAAUACGGAGGAUGCGAGCGUUAUCCGGAUUUAUUGGGUUUAAAGGGUGCGCAGGCGGCCUGUUAAGUCAGCGGUCAAAUCGUGGGGCUCAACCCCAUCCAGCCGUUGAAACUGGGGAUCUAGAGUGUGCGAGAGGUAUGCGGAAUGCGUGGUGUAGCGGUGAAAUGCAUAGAUAUCACGCAGAACCCCGAUUGCGAAGGCAGCAUACCGGUGCACAACUGACGCUCAGGCACGAAAGCGUGGGUAUCGAACAGGAUUAGAUACCCGAGUAG
rnacentral:rRNA from 1 species